GUACGUAGGGCGCGAGCGUUGUCCGGAUUUAUUGGGCGUAAAGAGCUCGUAGGCGGCUUGUUGCGUCGGCUGUGAAAUCCCGUGGCUUAACUGCGGGCUUGCAGCUGAUACGGGCGGGCUGGAGUUCGGUAGGGGAGACUGGAAUUCCUGGUGUAGCGGUGAAAUGCGCAGAUAUCAGGAGGAACACCGGUGGGCGAAGGCGGGUCUCUGGGCCGAUACUGAC
rnacentral:rRNA from 1 species